rnacentral:siRNA from 1 species
AGAGGUGUUGGGUUCGAAGUCUG